GACAGAGGGUGCAAACGUUGUUCGGAAUUACUGGGCGUAAAGCGCGUGUAGGCGGCAACGCAAGUCGGGUGUGAAAGCCCUUGGCUCAACUGAGGAAGUGCACUCGAAACUGCGUUGCUUGAGUCCCGGAGAGGAUGGUGGAAUUCUCGGUGUAGAGGUGAAAUUCGUAGAUAUCGAGAGGAACACCGGUGGCGAAGGCGGCCAUCUGGACGGUGACUGACGCUGAGACGCGAAAGCGUGGGUAG
rnacentral:rRNA from 1 species